rnacentral:rRNA from 1 species
AUUGAACGCUGGCGGCAGGCCUAACACAUGCAAGUCGAACGAGUGGAGGACGGGUGAGGAAUGUCUGGGAAACUGCCUGAUGGAGGGGGAUAACUACUGGAAACGGUAGCUAAUACCGCAUACCAUCGGAUGUGCCCAGAUGGGAUUAGCUAGGAGGUGGGGUAACGGCUUACCUAGGCGACGAUCCCUAGCUGGUCUGAGAGGAUGACCAGCCCCACUGGAGCUGAACCCCGGUCCAGACUCCUACGUGGGGCCGCAGUGGGUAAUAUUGCACAAUGGGCGCAAGCCUGCUGCAGCCAUGCCGCGUGUAUGAAGAAGACCUUCGGGUUGAAAAGUCCUUUCGGCGGGGAGGCGUUACCCGCAGAAGAAGCACCGGCUAACUCCGUGCCAGCAGCCGCGGUAAUUC